rnacentral:rRNA from 1 species
GAUGAACGCUGGCGGCGUGCCUAAUACAUGCAAGUCGAGCGAACAGAUGAGGAGCUUGCUCCUCUGACGUUAGCGGCGGACGGGUGAGUAACACGUGGAUAACCUACCUAUAAGACUGGGAUAACUUCGGGAAACCGGAGCUAAUACCGGAUAAUAUUUUGAACCGCAUGGUUCAAUAGUGAAAGACGGUUUUGCUGUCACUUAUAGAUGGAUCCGCGCCGCAUUAGCUAGUUGGUAAGGUAACGGCUUACCAAGGCAACGAUGCGUAGCCGACCUGAGAGGGUGAUCGGCCACACUGGAACUGAGACACGGUCCAGACUCCUACGGGAGGCAGCAGUAGGGAAUCUUCCGCAAAGGGCGAAAGCCUGACGGAGCAACGCCGCGUGAGUGAUGAAGGUCUUCGGAUCGUAAAACUCUGUUAUUAGGGAAGAACAAAUGUGUAAGUAACUAUGCACGUCUUGACGGUACCUAAUCAGAAAGCCACGGCUAACUACGUG